rnacentral:rRNA from 1 species
AAGUCGUAACAAGGUUUCCGUAGGUGAACCUGCGGAAGGAUCAUUACAAGUGAGGCUCCCGAACGUUGGAAACAGCGGUUAGGAGCUUACACCCACCCGUGUUUACAUACUAUUGUUGCUUUGGCGGGCCGUGGCCUCCACUGCGGGCUCUGCUCGUGUGUGCCCGCCAGAGAACCAAACUCUGAAUGUUAGUGAUGUCUGAGUACUAUCUAAUAGUUAAAACUUUCAACAACGGAUCUCUUGGUUCUGGCAUCGAUGAAGAACGCAGCGAAAUGCGAUAAGUAAUGUGAAUUGCAGAAUUCAGUGAAUCAUCGAAUCUUUGAACGCACAUUGCGCCCUGUGGUAUUCCGCAGGGCAUGCCUGUUCGAGCGUCAUUUAACCACUCACGCCUAGCGUGGUAUUGGGAUACGCGGUCUCCGCGGCCCUCAAAAUUAGUGGCGGCGCCGGUGGGCUCUAAGCGUAGUACAUACUCCCGCUAUAGAGUUCCCCCGGUGGCUCGCCAGAACCCCCAAUUUUUACAGGUUGACCUCGGAUCAGGUAGGGAUACCCGCUGAACUUAAGCAUAUCAAUAAGCGGAGGA